rnacentral:rRNA from 1 species
AUGAGAUGUAGUUUCAAUGCAGACAUCAAGUGUGAUUAGAUAGACAAUAAUAUGGUUGAGUCUUUUAAUAACUGGAUAAAGGACUAUAAAGACUUGCCAUUUGAUGAGCUUGUUGACACAUAUAGAGAGUUGUUGAUGAAACUAGUAUACAAAAGAAGGAGAAUUGGGGAGAAAUUGAGGGGAAAGAUCAUUCCUGCUGUUAUUUAACAGAUUUUCAAUAGGACUAGAGGGCUUGGUCAUCUAAAAGUUGGAAAACCAGGUAAUGGUAGUUGUGAAGUCAGGGACACAAGCAAAAAUAGUCUUAGGCAUGUUGUGAAGGUUGAGAAACAUGAACGAACUUGUUUGGAGUGGCAGCACACUGGAAAGCCAUGUGAGCAUGCUCUAGUAUUUUUUAUGGGGUUGAGAAACCCAAAAUGGGUAUACUAUGCUCAUAAUUAUUUCUCCUUGGACAAGUUUAGGGCAGCUUAUGCAGGUGAGAUUGAGCCCAUGACAGAUAGGAGUCAAUGCCCUCAUGUGGAUGUUGGUUUCGACAUGGAUGCACCGAUUCACAAAGGAAGACCGCCUGGAAGGCCUAGAAAGAAGAGGUACAAGAGUGCCCUCGAAGGUGGAAAGGGUGGUCCAAAAAAGAAAGAACCUAAACAAUUGGGCAGCCAAAACAGAUGCAAAAGAUGCAAUGAAUUAGGUCACAUACAACCUGGUUGCCCUUUAAAUGGUCCUCAAAAAAGGUAA